rnacentral:lncRNA from 1 species
UUUAGAACUAAAAAGAAUGUUUCGGUUCUGUGAUACAGUUGCUUAGAGGAGAGAAGAAAAAGAAAACAUCUAAGAGUGUGAGGGCUCCAUGUGGAGCUGGCAGAGAACAGGAGCAGCCGGUUGGGGUUGGGCGAGGAAAGGUCCGGCAGGAGGCGACGCUCUCCAUGUGUCACUCGCCAGCCGUGCAGUCUCUUGUCGCCUGCCCAGGUACUCACACC